UACGUAGGGACCGAGCGUUGUCCGGAAUCAUUGGGCGUAAAGAGCGUGUAGGCGGCUAUUUAAGUCCUGCGUGAAAUCCUGCGGCUCAACCGCAGACGGUCGUGGGAAACUGGAUGGCUAGAGUGCGGGAGAGGAGAGUGGAAUUCCCGGUGUAGCGGUGAAAUGCGCAGAUAUCAGGAGGAACACCGGUGCGAAGGCGGGUCUCUGGGCCGAUACUGACGCUGAGGAGCGAAAGCGUGGGGAGCGAACAGG
rnacentral:rRNA from 1 species